rnacentral:rRNA from 1 species
GCCCAGACUCCUACGGGAGGCAGCAGUGGGGAAUAUUGGACAAUGGGCGAAAGCCUGAUCCAGCCAUGCCGCGUGUGUGAAGAAGGUCUUCGGAUUGUAAAGCACUUUAAGUUGGGAGGAAGGGCAGUAAGCUAAUACCUUGCUGUUUUGACGUUACCGACAGAAUAAGCACCGGCUAACUCUG